rnacentral:rRNA from 1 species
CACGUAGGGUGCAAGCGUUGUCCGGAAUUAUUGGGCGUAAAGAGCUCGUAGGCGGCUUGUCGCGUCGACUGUGAAAACCUAGGGCUCAACCCCGGGCCUGCAUUCGAUACGGGCAGACUAGAGUUCGGUAGGGGAGUCUGGAAUUCCUGGUGUAGCGGUGAAAUGCGCAGAUAUCAGGAGGAACACCGGUGGCGAAGGCGGGACUCUGGGCCGAUACUGACGCUGAGGAGCGAAAGCGUGGGGAGCAAACAGG